rnacentral:RNase_P_RNA from 1 species
GCUACAAAAGUAGAGGAAAGUCCGAGCUGCAUCAGAGCAAAGCUACGCCUAACAGGCGUCGGGCGAGAGCCUAGGGAUAGUGCAACAGAAAGCAAACUACCAGCAGUGGUACAGGUGAAACGGCGGGGUAAAAGCCCACCAGUGCGCAGGCAAGAACAAGCCACGCAGCUAUGUAAACCCAGCUUGCAGCAAGAAGCGGUGGUAAAGCUCUGAGAUUUUACGCUUCGCUAGACCCCUUUGGUGACAUUGGGGCGAGAUAAAUGGCUACAUAAACAGAACUCGGCUUAUAGCCA